GCAGGCAGGAGGAUGGAGAUGAGUCACGGGGUUCUUAGAUGCUUGGUCUCCCUCUUCCUACAG
ensembl:miRNA Mir6916 microRNA 6916